rnacentral:rRNA from 1 species
GACGAACGCUGGCGGCGUGCUUAACACAUGCAAGUCGAGCGGAAAGGCCACUUCGGUGGUACUCGAGCGGCGAACGGGUGAGUAACACGUGAGUAAUCCGCCCCUGGCCUUGGGAUAGCCACCGGAAACGGUGAUUAAUACCGGAUACGACCACUUCUCGCAUGGGAUGGUGGUGGAAAGUUUUUUCGGCCAGGGAUGUGCUCGCGGCCUAUCAGCUUGAUGGUGAGGUAAUGGCUCACCAUGGCUUCGACGGGUAGCCGGUCUGAGAGGGUGACCGGUCACACUGGGACUGAGACACGGCCCAGACUCCUACGGGAGGCAGCAGUGGGGAAUAUUGGACAAUGGGCGGAAGCCUGAUCCAGCAACGCCGCGUGAGGGAUGACGGCCUUCGGGUUGUAAACCUCUUUCAGCAGGGACGAAGCGCAAGUGACGGUACCUGCAGAAGAAGCACCGGCCAACUACGUGCCAGCCGCCGCGGUAA